GGGAAUAAGAGGGACCCCGUGCCAUGACUGUUGGGCUGUUCGUGUCCGGUCAAGCCCGAGGGAGCGAAGGAAAGUUGAGCCGCCCUGGAGUCAGGUCUGUGCUUAUGUAAAUCACCCCCUCGGGAGAGCGGACAUUUGAGCAAGGGUACCUACCUAUGGCAUUAAUGUGGCCAGAUAUUCGAAAAUGACCUUUCUCUAGCCCUCCUCCCUUUGAAAGGGGGGGCAAACAGCCUCCCUGGUUGAAUAACUGCUGCACAGCAUGAUGCUUUAGCAGAGAAAGUUCUGGAGCUAGACAGGCUUAGCCUCAACCCCUGCUCUCCCGCUCACGGCCCCUGGAGUAACUUAACUUCGCUCGGCCUAAGUUUUCCUGUCUGUAAAAUGCGAAUGACAGGGGCAAACUCGGCAUCAUCAAACUCACUCGCACUCUGUUUGCACUUGGUUUGCAGGCUUGUGGAGGAGUCACAGCAGGGGUGGGAUCCCCAAAAGGAUUGUCUACUGCAGCGCCCACAUGGAAUAACUGGAUCUCUGAAGAGUUCGCAGAGAGCUAAAGGUGGGGAGGGUUUCAGGAGUGAAUGGUGCCUCAGACGAACAGGGCAAGAGUAGGGGCUGCAAGUAGAAUCCUGGAAGUUGGGGUGCAGGGGUAUCAUUGGCCUCGUCCGGAGGUGGGUGCGGACUGCCUAACGGAUUUCCAUGUCUAGGGUGGGGGUGGUCAGCCUUCAGCGGAAAAUAAGGCGUAAACCACAUCCCAUAAGGCAAUAUAAUAAAUAUGGAAAUAAACAUUAUGUCGAAAGAGGUUCAACAACCAAGUCAAAAGCCAAUACAACAGGCCCAGUAGUGAGAAAGUGGUUAAACCAUACCACCCUUCUUGAUAGGAAAUUAUGCAAAUAUUAUACAGAAAUUCAGUCACCUGGAAAAAGGACGAUGUUAGAACAAUGAAAAAGGUGAGCAUACAACUGUGUAUAUCUAACCGGAUUAAAACUAUCUUAUAAAAAGUUGAUGAGACAAGAUUGGAAAAUGUAAACUGUUGUCUUUGAAAACAGAUAAAGGGGCAUUUUUCUUUUGUUUUCUUCUUUAUAAUCUACAUAUCCCAAAGCAGAGGUGGUAUUUUUAUCCUUAAAAAAAAAAAAAAAUCACCAUACUUUAAAUCUGCCCCAGGCCUCUCACACACACACGAAAAUGAACUAAAAGCAUCAUCAGAUGUUCCCAGUGUGGCCCAACGUCUGGGAUGCUGUGGCCGCCUGCUCUCCAGGUCUCACUUCCAGGUCCUGGAUCCAUAACCCUGAAUAAUUAAAGACUCCCGCAUCCUCCUACGAGAAGCUUAGAGGCCAAAAGGACAACUGAAUGUCUGUAACGGAUAUGACGUCACCCUUCACUAACCCAGCAGGCUGGCUGCGUCUCAGGCAAACCCUGUGACCUGAGAGGCUGGGAAAAGGUGAUGCUGCUGCAUAGCUUGGAUUGGAAAGUACUGAUCUGGGACCAGAAGACUGGGCAGCCUCAGAAGACCCCACCACUACCUGGCAUGUGACUUCAGGAAACCCUAGUCUCCAUUUCCUUGUGCAUUCAAUGAAGCCGAGAAUACUUGCUCUGCCUUCUUUAUGGAAACACAAAGACAGUCAAGCUUGAGACGGCCAACCCCACCCACUGGUUUACCUCGACAGCACACACAGCCAGGCACUAAUCUUACCUUGGUGGCGAUGGC